AAAGUGAGAAGACAUGUUUAAAACCAUCAUCAUUACUACUGACUUCAGGAAACUAAAAUCCUACGUUUGUGAGGUCAGAGACUCGGAAGGUUCUUAUUCGCUAGCAUCUUUUUUUUUUCAAAUUGCAACAUUUCUUUUUGGUUCAACUAAAGUAUGAUUAAAAUUAUUUCAAUUAAAUGAGGUCGGAGAUGAAUUUAAAACCUAUGCUUAUGAAUUAUGAACUAUUGUAGAUGAUGGUAUACUGGCCCAAAAUGUGAUUUAAGAUGCUACUGUUUUGAAUGCUAGCUCCCUGACGAUAAGAGAGAGAGAGACGUAUGUGGUCGACUCCUAUGAAGAUCAACGCUUGUUAGCAAAGGAUGUGUAUUGAACGAGUUCAUUGAUGUUAUGACACUUGUUGUUUACAGAUUGAUGUUAACACACAGAGGCGACUACCUUGCAACCAAAACGUGUCUAAAACUCAUUCAAUAUACCAAACAUAUGGUUUUUCCUUGCAUCUUAUUCCAACUUAAUACUACUAUCCAGUUUUAAAUCUAGUGUAUCAAAAGAUUCAAAACACCUUCCAAAAAUCGAAGGUAAAAAGAGCUGUCGAGAUUUUUUAAAGUUCUAUUUGACGACUUUUAGAUUGGUUUACAGGUUCGCUUAUUUUAUAGGGGCGCAUAGAUUAUGACGGUCAUCUAUCUC
rnacentral:lncRNA from 1 species